CGAUGAAGGCCUUCGGGUUGUAAAGCACUGUCGAGGGGAAGAAAAGGCGUAAGCUUUGAUCGACCUCUGGAGGAAGCUCGGGCUAAGUUCGUGC
rnacentral:rRNA from 1 species